UUGUAAUGUAAUUCCUACAACAUUAAUGCAUUGGAUCCCAUUAGAACUCCGUAGUUAUACACACUUGGGCUAGAUUAGCACUGGGAUGGGUGACCUCCCAAGAAGUCCUAGUGUUUUACAUG
rfam:Picea glauca, whole genome shotgun sequence.